rnacentral:rRNA from 1 species
UACGUAGGGUGCAAGCGUUAAUCGGAAUUACUGGGCGUAAAGCGUGCGCAGGCGGUUGUGCAAGACAGAUGUGAAAUCCCCGGGCUCAACCUGGGAACUGCAUUUGUGACUGCACGGCUAGAGUGUGUCAGAGGGGGGUAGAAUUCCACGUGUAGCAGUGAAAUGCGUAGAUAUGUGGAGGAACACCGAUGGCGAAGGCAGCCCCCUGGGUUAACACUGACGCUCAUGCACGAAAGCGUGGGGAGCAAACAGG